GGGUUGUGAGGUUAAGCGACUAAGCGUACACGGUGGAUGCCCUGGCAGUCAGAGGCGAUGAAGGACGUGCUAAUCUGCGAUAAGCGUCGGUGAGGUGAUAUGAACCGUUAUAACCGGCGAUUUCCGAAUGGGGAAACCCAGUGUGUUUCGACACACUAUCAUUAACUGAAUCCAUAGGUUAAUGAGGCGAACCGGGGGAACUGAAACAUCUAAGUACCCCGAGGAAAAGAAAUCAACCGAGAUUCCCCCAGUAGCGGCGAGCGAACGGGGAGGAGCCCAGAGCCUGAAUCAGUGUGUGUGUUAGUGGAAGCGUCUGGAAAGGCGCGCGAUACAGGGUGACAGCCCCGUACACAAAAAUGCACAUAUUGUGAGCUCGAUGAGUAGGGCGGGACACGUGGUAUCCUGUCUGAAUAUGGGGGGACCAUCCUCCAAGGCUAAAUACUCCUGACUGACCGAUAGUGAACCAGUACCGUGAGGGAAAGGCGAAAAGAACCCCGGCGAGGGGAGUGAAAAAGAACCUGAAACCGUGUACGUACAAGCAGUGGGAGCCUCUUAAUGGGGUGACUGCGUACCUUUUGUAUAAUGGGUCAGCGACUUAUAUUCUGUAGCAAGGUUAACCGAAUAGGGGAGCCGAAGGGAAACCGAGUCUUAACUGGGCGUUAAGUUGCAGGGUAUAGACCCGAAACCCGGUGAUCUAGCCAUGGGCAGGUUGAAGGUUGGGUAACACUAACUGGAGGACCGAACCGACUAAUGUUGAAAAAUUAGCGGAUGACUUGUGGCUGGGGGUGAAAGGCCAAUCAAACCGGGAGAUAGCUGGUUCUCCCCGAAAGCUAUUUAGGUAGCGCCUCGUGAAUUCAUCUCCGGGGGUAGAGCACUGUUUCGGCAAGGGGGUCAUCCCGACUUACCAACCCGAUGCAAACUGCGAAUACCGGAGAAUGUUAUCACGGGAGACACACGGCGGGUGCUAACGUCCGAUGUUGGCUUAGAAGCAGCCAUCAUUUAAAGAAAGCGUAAUAGCUCACUGGUCGAGUCGGCCUGCGCGGAAGAUGUAACGGGGCUAAACCAUGCACCGAAGCUGCGGCAGCGACRCUAUGYGUUGUUGGGUAGGGGAGCGUUCUGUAAGCCUGUGAAGGUGKSCUGUGAGGSWUGCUGGAGGUAUCAGAAGUGCGAAUGCUGACAUAAGUAACGAUAAAGCGGGUGAAAAGCCCGCUCGCCGGAAGACCAAGGGUUCCUGUCCAACGUUAAUCGGGGCAGGGUGAGUCGACCCCUAAGGCGAGGCCGAAAGGCGUAGUCGAUGGGAAACAGGUUAAUAUUCCUGUACUUGGUGUUACUGCGAAGGGGGGACGGAGAAGGCUAUGUUGGCCGGGCGACGGUUGUCCCGGUUUAAGCGUGUAGGCUGGUUUUCCAGGCAAAUCCGGAAAACCAAGGCUGAGGCGUGAUGACGAGGCACUACGGUGCUGAAGCRACAAAUGCCCUGCUUCCAGGAAAAGCCUCUAAGCAUCAGGUAACAUCAAAUCGUACCCCAAACCGACACAGGUGGUCAGGUAGAGAAUACCAAGGCGCUUGAGAGAACUCGGGUGAAGGAACUAGGCAAAAUGGUGCCGUAACUUCGGGAGAAGGCACGCUGAUAUGUAGGUGAAGCGACUWGCUCGUGGAGCUGAAAUCAGUCGAAGAUACCAGCUGGCUGCAACUGUUUAUUAAAAACACAGCACUGUGCAAACACGAAAGUGGACGUAUACGGUGUGACGCCUGCCCGGUGCCGGAAGGUUAAUUGAUGGGGUUAGCGGYAACGCGAAGCUCUUGAUCGAAGCCCCGGUAAACGGCGGCCGUAACUAUAACGGUCCUAAGGUAGCGAAAUUCCUUGUCGGGUAAGUUCCGACCUGCACGAAUGGCGUAAUGAUGGCCAGGCUGUCUCCACCCGAGACUCAGUGAAAUUGAACUCGCUGUGAAGAUGCAGUGUACCCGCGGCAAGACGGAAAGACCCCGUGAACCUUUACUAUAGCUUGACACUGAACAUUGAGCCUUGAUGUGUAGGAUAGGUGGGAGGCUUUGAAGUGUGGACGCCAGUCUGCAUGGAGCCGACCUUGAAAUACCACCCUUUAAUGUUUGAUGUUCUAACGUKGGCCCSUAAUCSGGGUUGCGGACAGUGUCUGGUGGGUAGUUUGACUGGGGCGGUCUCCUCCUAAAGAGUAACGGAGGAGCACGAAGGUUGGCUAAUCCUGGUCGGACAUCAGGAGGUUAGUGCAAUGGCAUAAGCCAGCUUGACUGCGAGCGUGACGGCGCGAGCAGGUGCGAAAGCAGGUCAUAGUGAUCCGGUGGUUCUGAAUGGAAGGGCCAUCGCUCAACGGAUAAAAGGUACUCCGGGGAUAACAGGCUGAUACCGCCCAAGAGUUCAUAUCGACGGCGGUGUUUGGCACCUCGAUGUCGGCUCAUCACAUCCUGGGGCUGAAGUAGGUCCCAAGGGUAUGGCUGUUCGCCAUUUAAAGUGGUACGCGAGCUGGGUUUAGAACGUCGUGAGACAGUUCGGUCCCUAUCUGCCGUGGGCGCUGGAGAACUGAGGGGGGCUGCUCCUAGUACGAGAGGACCGGAGUGGACGCAUCACUGGUGUUCGGGUUGUCAUGCCAAUGGCACUGCCCGGUAGCUAAAUGCGGAAGAGAUAAGUGCUGAAAGCAUCUAAGCACGAAACUUGCCCCGAGAUGAGUUCUCCCUGAGACUUAGAGUCUCCUGAAGGAACGUUGAAGACGACGACGUUGAUAGGCCGGGUGUGUAAGCGCAGCGAUGCGUUGAGCUAACCGGUACUAAUGAACCGUGAGGCUUAACCUUACAACGCCGAAG
rnacentral:rRNA from 1 species